rnacentral:rRNA from 1 species
AUUGAACGCUGGCGGCAUGCCUUACACAUGCAAGUCGAACGGCAGCACGGGUGCUUGCACCUGGUGGCGAGUGGCGAACGGGUGAGUAAUACAUCGGAACAUGUCCUGUAGUGGGGGAUAGCCCGGCAAAAGCCGGAUUAAUACCGCAUACGAUCUACGGAUGAAAGCGGGGGACCUUCGGGCCUCGCGCUAUAGGGUUGGCCGAUGGCUGAUUAGCUAGUUGGUGGGGUAAAGGCCUACCAAGGCGACGAUCAGUAGCUGGUCUGAGAGGACGACCAGCCACACUGGGACUGAGACACGGCCCAGACUCCUACGGGAGGCAGCAGUGGGGAAUUUUGGACAAAGGGCGAAAGCCUGAUCCAGCAAUGCCGCGUGUGUGAAGAAGGCCUUCGGGUUGUAAAGCACUUUUGUCCGGAAAGAAAUCCUUGGCCCUAAUACGGUCGGGGGAUGACGGUACCGGAAGAAUAAGCACCGGCUAACAACGUG